GGGGUUGACCGGAUUUGACAGGAUGGAGACGGUUAUGUAAGCAUGUAGUGCGUUGUUAGUAGAGCACUUUAAUCUGAACUUUCAAAAUUAUAACUGGCGAAGAAAACUACGCCUUAGCUGCUUAAUUUAGAAUUAAGACUAGCUUUUGUCUCGUUAAGCCUUGCUCUAUCGCUUAACAUCAGAGGCAUCGAUUCAUAGAGCUGGUCAGUGUGAUGUUGCUAAACACUGACGAGAUUUAGCAAAUACGGAGUCCGGUAUAGGUAAGCUUCUCACCUUCCCUCUCCCGACAAUCAAAGAGAAGCUAAACAUGUAGAAAGCGUAUACAGUACCAUGACUGGACGAGGGUUCGAAUCCCUCCAGCUCCAC
rnacentral:tmRNA from 1 species